rnacentral:rRNA from 1 species
CCUACGGGUGGCAGCAGUGAGGAAUAUUGGUCAAUGGGCGCGAGCCUGAACCAGCCAAGUAGCGUGAAGGAUGACUGCCCUACGGGUUGUAAACUUCUUUUAUAAAGGAGUAAAGUGAGGCACGUGUGCCUUUUUGUAUGUAAUUUAUGAAUAAGGAUCGGCUAACGCCGUGCCCGCAGCCGCGGUAAUUCGGAGGAUCCGGGCGUUAUCCGGGUUUAUUGGGUUUAAAGGGAGCGUAGAUGGGUUGUUAAGUUAGUUGUGAAAGUUUGCGGCCCAACCGUAAAAUUGCCAUUGAUACUGGCAGUCUUGAGUGCAGUAGAGGUAGGCGGAAUUCGUGGUGUAGCGGUGAAAUGCUUAGAUAUCACGCAGAACUCCGAUUGCGAAGGCAGCUUACUAGACUGCCACUGACAUUGAUGCUCGAAAGUGUGGGUAUCAAACAGGAUUAGAUACCCCUGUAGUC